UGGGGAAUUUUCUGCAAUGGGCGAAAGCCUGACAGAGCAAUAUCGCGUGAGGGAUGACAGCCUUUUGGGUUGUAAACCUCUUUUUUCAGGGAGGAAGUUCUGACGUUACCUGAAGAAUAAGCAUCGGCUAACUCCGUG
rnacentral:rRNA from 1 species